AUUGAACGCUGGCGGCAGGCUUAACACAUGCAAGUCGAGCGAGCGGCGGACGGGUGAGUAAUGUAUGGGAAACUGCCUGAUGGAGGGGGAUAACUACUGGAAACGGUAGCUGAUACCGCAUACCAUCAGAUGGGCCCAGAUGGGAUUAGCUAGAAGGUGGGGUAAUGGCUCACCGAGGUGACGAUCCCUAGCUGGUCUGAGAGGCUGACCAGCCACAAUGGAACUGAGACACGGUCCAUACUCCUACGGGAGGCAGCAGUGGGGAAUAUUGCAGAAUGGGCGCAAGCCUGAUGCAGCCAUGCCGCGUGUGUGAAGAAGGCCUUCGGGUUGUAAAGCACUUUCAGCGAGGAGGCGUUACUCGCAGAAGAAGCACCGGCUAACUCCGUGCCAGCAGCCGCGGUAAUUC
rnacentral:rRNA from 1 species